AGCGCGGGCCGUUACUGGCGCGUGGGGAUGGACAACCAUCAGGGAGCGGCCCCGUCACGAGGACGUUUUUGCCGAGCGCCUGGGCCUUCCGC
rnacentral:ncRNA from 2 species